CACCACUCAAGCCUCGCUUGGUAUUGGGCGCCGCGGUGUUCCGCGCGCCUCAAAGUCUCCGGCUGAGCUGUCCGUCUCUAAGCGUUGUGAUUUCAUUAAUCGCUUCGGAGCGCGGAUGGCCGCGGCCGUUAAAUCUUUAUUCAAA
rnacentral:misc_RNA from 1 species